rnacentral:rRNA from 1 species
UGAACGCUGGCGGCGUGCCUAAUACAUGCAAGUCGAGCGAACGGACGAGAAGCUUGCUUCUCUGCUGUUAGCGGCGGACGGGUGAGUAACACGUGGAUAACCUACCUAUAAGACUGGGAUAACUUCGGGAAACCGGAGCUAAUACCGGAUGAUAUUUUGAACCGCAUGGUUCAAAAGUGAAAGACGGUCUUGCUGUCACUUAUAGAUGGAUCCGCGCUGCAUUAGCUAGUUGGUAAGGUAACGGCUUACCAAGGCAACGAUGCAUAGCCGACCUGAGAGGGUGAUCGGCCACACUGGAACUGAGACACGGUCCAGACUCCUACGGGAGGCAGCAGUAGGGAAUCUUCCGCAAUGGGCGAAAGCCUGACGGAGCAACGCCGCGUGAGUGAUGAAGGUCUUCGGAUCGUAAAACUCUGUUAUUAGGGAAGAACAUAUGUGUAAGUAACUGUGCACAUCUUGACGGUACCUAAUCAGAAAGCCACGGCUAACUACGU